AACAUUUCACAACACGAGCUGACGACAGCCAUGCAGCACCUGUCUCACGGUUCCCGAAGGCACUAAGGCAUCUCUGCCGAAUUCCGUGGAUGUCAAGGCCAGGUAAGGUUCUUCGCGUUGCAUCGAAUUAAACCACAUGCUCCACCGCUUGUGCGGGCCCCCGUCAAUUCAUUUGAGUUUUAACCUUGCGGCCGUACUCCCCAGGCGGUCAACUUAAUGCGUUAGCUGCGCCACUAAGAGCUCAAGGCUCCCAACGGCUAGUUGACAUCGUUUACGGCGUGGACUACCAGGGUAUCUAAUCCUGUUUGCUCCCCACGCUUUCGCACCUCAGUGUCAGUAUCAGUCCAGGUGGUCGCCUUCGCCACUGGUGUUCCUUCCUAUAUCUACGCAUUUCACCGCUACACAGGAAAUUCCACCACCCUCUACCAUACUCUAGUCAGUCAGUUUUGAAUGCAGUUCCCAGGUUGAGCCCGGGGAUUUCACAUCCAACUUAACAAACCACCUACGCGCGCUUUACGCCCAGUAAUUCCGAUUAACGCUUGCACCCUCUGUAUUACCGCGGCUGCUGGCACAGAGUUAGCCGGUGCUUAUUCUGUCGGUAACGUCAAAACAAUCACGUAUUAGGUAACUGCCCUUCCUCCCAACUUAAAGUGCUUUACAAUCCGAAGACCUUCUUCACACACGCGGCAUGGCUGGAUCAGGCUUUCGCCCAUUGUCCAAUAUUCCCCACUGCUGCCUCCCGUAGGAGUCUGGACCGUGUCUCAGUUCCAGUGUGACUGAUCAUCCUCUCAGACCAGUUACGGAUCGUCGCCUUGGUGAGCCAUUACCUCACCAACUAGCUAAUCCGACCUAGGCUCAUCUGAUAGCGCAAGGCCCGAAGGUCCCCUGCUUUCUCCCGUAGGACGUAUGCGGUAUUAGCGUCCGUUUCCGAACGUUAUCCCCCACUACCAGGCAGAUUCCUAGGCAUUACUCACCCGUCCGCCGCUCUCAAGAGAAGCAAGCUUCUCUCUACCGCUC
rnacentral:rRNA from 1 species